UUUCCGUAGGUGAACCCGCGGAAGGAGCAUUACCGAGUGAGGGUCUCUCAGGCCCAGCCUCCCACCCGGUGUUUUUGUUACCGUGUUGCUUUGGCGGGCCCGCCUCGAUGAAAGGCCGCCUGAAGCUCACCGCUCUGGGCCCGUGCCCGUCAGUAGCCCCCUUAAAUUCUUAAUAAACCUGUCGGCUGAGUUAAUGGAUAUAAUGAAAAAAAACUUUCAACAACGGAUCUCUUGGUUCUG
rnacentral:misc_RNA from 1 species